rnacentral:lncRNA from 1 species
AAAGGGAGAAGCCAUCUUAGGACUUCAUUGAGCACACCUGGCCUUGGAUAGAGCCGAAUUUUGCAGAAGGACAUUGUGGCUGCCCUUUUGAGUAAUUCAUUGCUGUUACAAACUGGAUAAAUUUCAGCUGGAGGAGGAGUGCUGUUAUCAUCCAGUGGGUAGAGGCCAGGGAUGCUGAUAAACCUCCCGCAAUGCCCAAGACAGUCUCCCACAGCAAAGAGUUCUCCAGUCAAAAUGUCAAUGGUGCCAAAGACAAUGACCUACAUUUUUAUUGGCCUAGAAGUUUGAGAAUUGUUAACAGUAGAAAGGUUAGUACAAUGUGGUACCAGUCAGGUUUCUUGACACAUUCAGGUUUGUAUGGACCAAACUUUCAUUCAGUUAGCCCCUUGCCUUUGCAGCCAGGAACCUCUUGUAUUCAGUGUCUUAACUAA